rnacentral:rRNA from 1 species
UACAGAGGGUGCAAGCGUUAAUCGGAAUUACUGGGCGUAAAGGGCGCGUAGGCGGCCUGCUAAGUCGAACGUGAAAUCCCCGGGCUUAACCCGGGAGCUGCCUCCGAUACGGCAUGGCUUGAGUCCGGGAGAGGGGAGCAGAAUUCCCAGUGUAGCGGUGAAAUGCGUAGAUAUUGGGAGGAAUACCGGUGGCGAAGGCGGCUCCCUGGACCGGUACUGACGCUGAGGCGCGAAAGCGUGGGUAGCAAACAGG